rnacentral:rRNA from 1 species
GCCGAACGCUGGCGGCGUGCCUAAUACAUGCAAGUUGAGCGAUGAAGAUUGGUGCUUGCACCAAUUUGAAGAGCAGCGAACGGGUGAGUAACGCGUGGGGAAUCUGCCUUUGAGCGGGGGACAACAUUUGGAAACGAAUGCUAAUACCGCAUAAUAACUUUAAACAUAAGUUUUAAGUUUGAAAGAUGCAAUUGCAUCACUCAAAGAUGAUCCCGCGUUGUAUUAGCUAGUUGGUGAGGUAAAGGCUCACCAAGGCGAUGAUACAUAGCCGACCUGAGAGGGUGAUCGGCCACAUUGGGACUGAGACACGGCCCAAACUCCUACGGGAGGCAGCAGUAGGGAAUCUUCGGCAAUGGACGAAAGUCUGACCGAGCAACGCCGCGUGAGUGAAGAAGGUUUUCGGAUCGUAAAACUCUGUUGGUAGAGAAGAACGUUGGUGAGAGUGGAAAGCUCAUCAAGUGACGGUAACUACCCAGAAAGGGACGGCUAACUACGUG